UACGGAGGGUGCAAGCGUUGUCCGGAUUUAUUGGGUUUAAAGGGUGCGUAGGUGGCUUAUUAAGUCAGUGUUUAAAGUCUGCAGCUUAACUGUAGGUAUGGCAUUGAUACUGAUAGGCUUGAGUAAAGUUGAGGUAGGCGGAAUUGAAGGUGUAGCGGUGAAAUGCAUAGAUAUCUUCAAGAACACCGAUUGCGAAGGCAGCUUACCUAAGCUUUAAACUGACACUGAGGCACGAAAGCGUGGGGAUCAAACAGG
rnacentral:rRNA from 1 species